AUUGAACGCUGGCGGCAUGCCUUACACAUGCAAGUCGAACGGUAACAGGCCGCAAGGUGCUGACGAGUGGCGAACGGGUGAGUAAUGCAUCGGAACGUGCCCAGUCGUGGGGGAUAACGCAGCGAAAGCUGGGCUAAUACCGCAUACGAUCUAUGGAUGAAACCGGGGGACCGUAAGGCCUCGCGCGAUUGGAGCGGCCGAUGUCAGAUUGGCUAGUUGGUGGGGUAAAGGCCCACCAAGGCGACGAUCUGUAGCUGGUCUGAGAGGACGACCAGCCACACUGGGACUGAGACACGGCCCAGACUCCUACGGGAGGCAGCAGUGGGGAAUUUUGGACAAUGGGCGCAAGCCUGAUCCAGCAAUGCCGCGUGCAGGAAGAAGGCCUUCGGGUUGUAAACUGCUUUUGUACGGAACGAAACGGUCUGGGUUAAUACCCUGGGCUAAUGACGGUACCGUAAGAAUAAGCACCGGCUAACUUCGUGCCAGCCGCCGCCGUAA
rnacentral:rRNA from 1 species